rnacentral:rRNA from 1 species
GUGAGGAAUAUUGGUCAAUGGGCGGAAGCCUGAACCAGCCAUCCCGCGUGCAGGAAGACGGCCCUAUGGGUUGUAAACUGCUUUUCCAGGGGGCGAAACUCUCCGACGUGUCGGGGUUUGACGGUACCCUGGGAAUAAGCAUCGGCUAACUCCGUGCCAGCAGCCGCGGUAAUACGGAGGAUGCGAGCGUUAUCCGGAUUUAUUGGGUUUAAAGGGUGCGUAGGCGGAUUAGUAAGUCAGUGGUGAAAACCUGCAGCUUAACUGUAGACUUGCCAUUGAUACUGUUAAUCUUGAGUGUGGUCAAGGAAGGCGGAAUGUGUAAUGUAGCGGUGAAAUGCUUAGAUAUUACACAGAACACCGAUUGCGAAGGCAGCUUUCUGGGCCAUUACUGACGCUGAUGCACGAAAGCGUGGGGAUCGAACAGGAUUAGAUACCCGGGUAGUCC